CUGUAAUUGUUGAUGGUUAAACAUGUGCAUCAUGAAUGUUGCUCGUUUUAUCGUUGUUGUACUGGUUAUUAGUUGCUACGGUAAUAAGACGAAUUCUGGAUCGUAUACACUGAAACUUGAAAACGCAAAUUUCGAAGAACUUCAAAGUAUGUUCAUGAAUUUUUUAGGAACAGGGAAAGGUAUGAGAGAACAUGAGGAGAAAUUUUCAGUCUUUGCAGCUUCUUUGACUAAUCGACAAACCCUGCGGACUGGUCAAAUUAUCUAAUUUAACAAAGUUUGGACGAAUGUCAAUAAUGAUUAUCACCCAAGUACUGGUGUAUACACGGCUCCAAAACCUGGGAUGUACCAGUUCUCAUGCACCGUAAUGACACCACAUGAUCAAACCCUUCGUGUCUUCCUAUGGAAAAAUGACACAAAGACAGUAGGAGUUUAUCCUGGUAAUUCUGGUUAUAACAUGGGAACUCUUAAUAUGUUAGAACUCAACAAAGGGGACAAGGUAUAUAUAAAGCAAUGGGGAUCAGAGAAACGCAUCUGGAGUGAACCUGCAAGCAACUUCUGUAUGUUUUCUGGUUAUCAAAUUCGAUGAAUUAAAUGUAUCCGAAU